UUUUAUUUUUUUUUGUUUUUAAUUAGUAUUGCAUACUGAUGGAAGAGAUUUUUAUGGAUUUAUAAUUAAUAGAAAUAAAGAGUUAAAAAGAACUUGGUUUUAUUAUUGUAUAAUAAGAAUUAGUUUUUUUUGUUUUGAUAUGUCGAUCUUUAUUAUAUCUGUAUUGUUUGAUAUUAUUAGAAAUUUGUGUAGGUGUGUUUUUAAUUUGAGGUUGUAUGAUUUAGAGUUUUUAUUUUUGUGGUGUUGUGACUUAUCUUGUUUAGGGAGAAAGGGUAAAUGGAAGUUUUGAUUUUUAUUAAUUUUUUAAUAAUUUAUUGAUUUUUAUUUUAGUAGAUGUUUUUUAUUUUUUGUUUUUGUUAAAUUUAAUUUUGAGAAUUUGAAAUAUAAUCAAAUGUUUUUAAAGACUGAUGUCUUUAUAUAGGAUUGUCUUCUGCUCUAUGAAUUUUUUAAUGGCCGCCUUAGCGUGAGGGCAUGAAAGUAGCAAAAUGAUUUGUGUUUUUAUUGAAUUCGAGUAUGAAAGGAGGUUUUGGUUAUUUUUAUUCUUUUUUGUUUUGAAUUAUUUUUAUAUUUAAGAAUUAAUAUAAAUGGUUAAACAAAGAUAAGUCUUCGGAAAUUCUGCUGGUUUAUUAUUUUCUUUUUGAUAGUAAUCUGGGUUUUUUAGGGCAAAGGUGUAUGUAGUUUGGGUUUACUAGUGUUAUUGAAUAGAGUUACUCCGGAGUUAACAGAAAUUUACGUUUUUUCUAGAUGUUAUAGAAGGAAGGAUUUUACAUCGAUGUUGUAUUUUAACUGGACGGAGGAGUAGUAAUUCUGUUUUUUGAGACUGUUCUUCUUUUAGGAAGUUAAACGUGAUAUUAGUUUAAUUCAUCGUGAGAUAGAAUUGAUUAUCUUGUUAGUUAUUUUGUUUUUUAGUGGUUAGUACGAAAGGAAAAUUAUUAAAAUUUUAAAUUGUUUAGUG
rnacentral:rRNA from 1 species